rnacentral:lncRNA from 1 species
AUGCCUAUAAGAAUGAAAUGAUCAUUUGGACACUCAAAACAUAGGCCAACAAGGCCAUAUAAGUAUCCAUAUACAUGAUAUCUGUCUACAAUCCUCUAAGAGUACAUAAACAUCAUAAAGGUCGGGACAGGGCCCCGCCAUACCAAUCAAUACAUGUCCAAAGCAUACUAACCAAAUAGGCCUUUCCGGAGCAAGUGGAGUGCACCAACACCUUCCGCUGAGCUGAUAGCCUACUGGGAAGACUGUCAACCUAUCAAUCGGGACCUGUGGGCAUGAGACGCAGCGUCCCCAGGCAAAAGAGGCGUCAGUAUGAAUAAAGUACCGAAUAUGUAUGGCAGGAAAGCAUAAAUAUGAACAAUAAUGUAAAGAGAGGUGGAGAAGAUACAACCUGUAAUAUUUGAGUGCCUCUGAGUGAUACUAACAUGAAAUUCAUGAUGCNNNNNNNNNNNNNNNNNNNNNNNNNUGGAGAUCGGUAAAAUCCAACUGAUUAGUGGUUGCACAAUAGGUGCCGUACCCGGCCGACUAUAGCGCAGCUCGGUUGAGUAAAAUAGAUACUAUAUAUAAUGCAUGCUAGACUCAUGGAAUUACGUUCUAAAACUUUCUGAGUGACUUAAGGUCGUUGCACCUUCGAUUAACAUUAUGGACAUCCAUACCCUCAAUAUGAACCUUAGUAGGAUUCAAGGAUCAUACACACUUGCUUAGAAUAACUUUAUAAGGAAAGAACAACAGGGACAACCUUAGUUGCUAGGAGUAGAUCCGUUAUAAAAUAGUGUAUUCAUUUCACUUUAGAUCAUGCUAAAAGAAAUAAGGAAGUGCCUUAACAUACCUUAACCACGUUGAGUCCGUAAUACCUCCCAAGCAACUCUUCAAACAACUCAAUUCAAUCUACCAUUGCAUAAGGAGAUUCAAAAUCAGUAUUGAAUAAAGGCUAAGUCUGCAACGUAAACUUGUAGCUCAUUUAUAUAAAUUCGGGCAGCAUCUCCCCUGUAAAAAGAGCCUACUCCAAUACCAUAUACCAACAAUAAUUGCUAGAGAAAUCCAGCAAUACAUAAUUAUCAAUAAUAAGACACCAUAAAACAACAAGUCACAACUAUUUUAUGACGAGCGGCAAACUCCAAUUGGAAUUCGUAUAUCUCAUAUCACCCCUUAUAGACUUUUUACUUUAACUUAAUAGUAUCAUUAACAUGAUAAUGAAGUCAUUCAUCAAUAAUUCCAGUUUCAUACCAUAUAUCCAUAACAAAGAAAACGAUCCACAACUCCAAUUAUUCUCAAUUAGCAACUUUAUUCACUAGUUCAUGUCUAGUUCAUCCAUUUAACUCAACCAAUGUAAAGAUAAACUAAAGCACCUGUAGGAACACAAUAUAAUUACCUCCUACAGUAGAUGAAAGUCGAAAUCCAUGUUAUAUUUAGUUUACAAUAGCCCAACACACCCCAAUCGAUUCAUACCAAAAUGACGACUAUAGUAGUAUCAAACACCCCGAAAAUAUUACAAAGAAUGACUAAUCCAUCAUUUCGCCAUUAUGUGGUGUUUCUCCACACCAUUUAUCCUCCAAAAAUCCAAUUAACAGCAGCAAAAUAGACAGCCCAAAAGCUACACGAAACAUCCCACAAAACAGUCCAUUACAAGUCAAAUAACUCGAACUCACGGUUUCCGAUCACCGUUCCGUGAGUUCUAACUAUUGUGAAAUGAAUUAAUCAAUCUUCCUUGAUGUUUAAGAGAUUGAAACCAGAAAUUAUGCAUUUUUAUUAACUUCAAAAUACCUUCCAAAACUCAAACUACAAAGAAAAAGAGAGGCAAUAUAGCGAUACAUACGUUGUGGGGAUCGUUCUAGUGUUAUUGCUUCUUGAUUUCGUGUCUGGGAUG